CCAUGUAGAACACUGAACACUCCUGAUAUCAUCUGAUCUUGGAAGCUAAGCAGGGUUGGGCCUGGUUAGUACUUGGAUGGGAGAUAGGCCAAUCCUCUUGCAAGACAACACUUAACUACAUGAC
rnacentral:rRNA from 1 species